CCUACGGGAGGCAGCAGUGGGGAAUCUUGCGCAAUGGGCGAAAGCCUGACGCAGCAACGCCGCGUGCGGGAAGAAGGCUUUCGGGCUGUAAACCGCUUUCAGCAGGAACGAAAAUGACGGUACCUGCAGAAGAAGGAGCGGCCAACUAUGUGCCAGCAGCCGCGGUGAUACAUAGGCUUCAAGCGUUGUCCGGAUUUAUUGGGCGUAAAGAGUUCGUAGGCGGUCAAGUAAGUCGGGUGUGAAAAUUCUGGGCUCAACCCAGAGACGCCACCCGAUACUGCUUAACUUGAGUUCGAUAGGGGAGUGGGGAAUUCCUAGUGUAGCGGUGAAAUGCGCAGAUAUUAGGAGGAACACCGGUGGCGAAGGCGCCACUCUGGAUCGAUACUGACGCUGAGGAACGAAAGCAUGGGUAGCAAACAGGAUUAGAUACCCUGGUAGUCCAUGCCGUAAACGGUGGGCACUAGGUGUGGGUUUCUAUUAACGAAAUCCGCGCCGUCGCUAACGCAUUAAGUGCCCCGCCUGGGGAGUACGGUCGCAAGACUAAAACUCAAAGGAAUUGACGGCUGAGACGNGCGAGACGACGACGAGGAGAG
rnacentral:rRNA from 1 species